AGUGAACGCUGGCGGUAGGCCUAACACAUGCAAGUCGAACGGCAGCACAGUAAGAGCUUGCUCUUACGGGUGGCGAGUGGCGGACGGGUGAGGAAUACAUCGGAAUCUACUUUUUCGUGGGGGAUAACGUAGGGAAACUUACGCUAAUACCGCAUACGACCUACGGGUGAAAGCAGGGGAUCUUCGGACCUUGCGCGAUUGAAUGAGCCGAUGUCGGAUUAGCUAGUUGGCGGGGUAAAGGCCCACCUAGGCGACGAUCCGUAGCAGGUAUGAGAGGAUGGGCAGCCACACUGGGAGUGAGACACGGUCCAUACUCCUACGGGAGGGAGCAGUGGGGAAUAGGGGACAAUGGGCGCAAACCUGAGCCAGCCAUACCGCGGGGGUGAAGAAGGCCUUCGGGUUGGAAAGCCCUUUUGUUGGGAAAGAAAAGCAGCAGGUUAAUACCCCGCUGUUCUGACGGUACCCAAAGAAUAAGCACCGGCUAACUUCGUG
rnacentral:rRNA from 1 species